AGCGAACGCUGGCGGCAGGCUUAACACAUGCAAGUCGAACGCCCCGCAAGGGGAGUGGCAGACGGGUGAGUAACACGUGGGAACGUACCCUUUGGUUCGGAAUAACUGGGGGAAACUCAAGCUAAUACCGGAUAAGCCCUUAUGGGGAAAGGUUUACUGCCGAAGAAUCGGCCCGCGUCUGAUUAGCUAGUUGGUGAGGUAAUGGCUAACAAAGGAGACGACCAGUAGCUGGUCUGAGAGGAUGAUCAGCCACACUGGGACUGAGACACGGCCCAGACUACUACGGGAGGCAGCAGUGGGGAAUAUUGGAAAAUGGGGGCAACCCUGAUCCAGCCAUGCCGCGUGAGUGAUGAAGGCCUUAGGGUUGUAAAGCUCUUUUACCCGGGACGAUAAUGACUGUACCGGGAGAAUAAGCCCCGGCUAACUUCGUGCCAGCAGCCGCAGUAA
rnacentral:rRNA from 1 species